rnacentral:rRNA from 1 species
ACAGAUCGUUCAGAGUUUGAUCCUGGCUCAGGAUGAACGCUGGCGGCGUGCCUAACACAUGCAAGUCGAGCGAACCCUUCGGGGUGAGCGGCGGGCGGGUGAGUAACGCGUGGGUAACCUGCCCUGUACACACGGAUAACAUACCGAAAGGUAUGCUAAUACGAGAUAACAUGUAAUGAUCGCAUGGUCGAUACAUCAAAGCUCCGGCGGUACAGGAUGGACCCGCGUCUGAUUAGCUAGUUGGUGAGGUAAUGGCUCACCAAGGCGACGAUCAGUAGCCGACCUGAGAGGGUGAUCGGCCACAUUGGAGCUGAGACACGGUCCAA